UACGGAGGGUGUAAGCAUUGAUCGGAAUUACUGGGCGUAAAGGGCGCGUAGGCGGUAUGGAAAGUCAGAUGUGAAAUUCCGGGGCUCAACUCCGGGGCUGCAUUUGAAACUUCUAUGCUAGAGUACAGUUAGGGAAAACGGAAUUCCACGUGUAGCGGUGAAAUGCGUAGAUAUGUGGAAGAACACCGGUGGUGAAGACGGUUUUCUGGGCUGUGACUGACGCUGAGGCGCGAGAGCUAGGGGAGCAAACAGG
rnacentral:misc_RNA from 1 species